GGUGGCUCAGUGGUAGAGCGCCUGCCUUGCAUCCAUGAGGCCCUGGGUUCGAUUCCUCAGCACCA
rnacentral:tRNA from 1 species